AUGCCAAAGUUUGGUCGUUAUGUGCUUCUAGUGAAUGUUGCUAAAACACAUACACAAAUUGUCCAAAUUCAACAUCAUUUAUUCAAGUUUCACAAGUCCAUAUACAAUGACAUUCAAAUUGCAAGCCAAAUUUCAUUACCAAACAAAAGAUCCAUAGCACAAUUACUAAAUACAAUUGUUGCUUUCCCAUUACAUCAAGAAAAUUACAAGAAAAAAACAUGUCGCCUCUGCAGGUUAAAAGAGAUAUUAAUACUUGCUAAAUGA